AAUACCAAUUUCUAGAUUUUUCUUCAAAACCCCAAAUUUCUACUAAUUUCCAUGAAUUUUCACGCCUAAAUUCGUAUAUAAACCAAGUAUUUAACUUGCAAUAGGUAGGAAUCA